CCAGAUCGUCGCUGGUACAAGUCUCGAAAGGGCGUACUGGAGGAAGGUCCGGACUGCACAGGGCAGCGUAGGAGGUAACACCUCUCCACCGUAAGGUGAGGAUCAGAGCAACAGAGACGAGCCAAUUCAGUUUGGGUGAAACGGGCAAUCUCUACGCGCAGCAACACCAAAUAGGCACACGAUGACCUGGCCCGGGGAGUGUGCGGGUAGGUGGCAUUGAGCCGCUCUGGCGACAGGCGGCCCAGAGGAAUGACGGUCACGGUUCAGCGUCGCGAGACACGGGACUGCACAGAAUCCGGCCUAUCGGUUGACUUCACAA
rnacentral:RNase_P_RNA from 1 species